GCCCAGUGUGCAAUGACUGCAAAGAGCAGCCUUCUUGGUGGUGUACGCAGCCUGUUGCCUAUACAGUUGGCCCUAAGGGACCUUGGAGACAACUCUUUCCAGUGGACAAUUACGAUUGGCUUGCUGUCUCCAGUCUAGGCUCCAGACAGCCCCCUGGUGAACAGUCUCAACAAGAGGAACCACCAAAGAGUGAGGACAUUCUACCUGGUCAAGGGAGAGAGGAUGAAGGAGCACCUGUUAUUCAAGGACCUAACCUGGAAGUUGAUCGACUGGAACUGACUGGAGGUGAGCGUGGAGAUAGUCUAGAGGUCAAGAGGAAGCUUCUACCCAAGCUUGAACUCACUGAAAGACAGUUAUAGGUUUAAAAGAAGACAAACUGAAAUCGUGUCGUUUGUUCUUAUACUGGACAUUUAUUAAGAUUCUCUCAGUAAAGUUUUACAGUUUGCUCUUCAACAGGUACAAAGAUGGUAAGUGGUGAGGGAAGAUUUGAACCCAGGUUUGACUUUAGAGCAAAAAGUAUAUUUCAUCUAUCUCUGAGCUUCAGAAUGAAUUAAAGAAAAUUAUAUCAGAGUUGCUAGAAGAACCUUCAUUAUGAUUCCAGGUCAACGUGCCAGAAUCUGUGGCUCUGUUUUUUAAAUAUGUUUCUCUCUAUGGGAACUUUCCAAGCUGUGCUGCUGGGUGGCAUUUGACAAGUUUACAUUUCUCAAUAUAACCCUUUUCCUUAAUUACACAAAGAAACUUGUCUUGAUGUGAUAAUGGUAUAGAAAUGGGAGGUGAAAGGAUGGCUAGUAAGAACAUGAAAUUCUGAGUCUUUAAAUUCUACUCACAAAGAUCCACAUACUAGCAGAGAAAUCCCUGAAAGAAAGGCGGGUAAGUCAUCUUUUCCUGGUGGGACAUCUCUUGGUCUUUAACAUCCAAACCUCAUAAUGGUACAUAUCUCUUAGCACAUUUUGGGAAAUAAUAUUUACAUAGGCAAAAUGUGUAUGUAUGUCUUUAAAACUCAAUACAACCUUUUAAACUAAACAAUACACGUAAAAAGUCUCAAUUAUUUUCCAAACUGACAGAAUAAAAGAAUCAUAUGAAAAGAACCCCA
ensembl:lncRNA